UACGUAGGCGCAGCGUGUCCGGAAUUAUUGGGCGUAAAGAGCUCGUAGGCGGUUUGUCGCGUCUGCUGUGAAAGCCCGGGGCUCAACCCCGGGUCUGCAGUGGGUACGGGCAGACUAGAGUGCAGUAGGGGAGACUGGAAUUCCUGGUGUAGCGGUGAAAUGCGCAGAUAUCAGGAGGAACACCGAUGGCGAAGGCAGGUCUCUGGGCUGUUACUGACGCUGAGGAGCGAAAGCAUGGGGAGCGAACAGGAUUAGAUACCCGGGUAGUCC
rnacentral:rRNA from 1 species